rnacentral:rRNA from 1 species
UACGGGGGGGGCAAGCGUUGUUCGGAAUUACUGGGCGUAAAGGGCUCGUAGGCGGCCAACUAAGUCGGACGUGAAAUCCCCAGGCUCAACCUGGGAACUGCGUCCGAUACUGGAUGGCUUGAAUCCGGGAGAGGGAUGCAGAAUUCCAGGUGUAGCGGUGAAAUGCGUAGAUAUUCGCAAGAACACCAGUGGCGAAGGCGGCUCACUGGCCCGGAACUGACGCUGAGACGCGAAAGCGUGGGGAGCAAACAGG